UUGGAGGGCAAGUCUGGUGCCAGCAGCCGCGGUAAUUCCAGCUCCAAUAGCGUAUAUUAAAGUUGUUGCAGUUAAAAAGCUCGUAGUUGAAUUUCGGAAUCAAUAUUUCGGUCAUGCCGUUGGUAUGCACUGUUAUCAUUGAUUUCUCACCUUCUAAAGAACCGUAAUGCCAUUAAUUUGGUGUUACGUGGAAUUAGGACUGUUACCUUGAAAAAAUUAGAGUGUUUAAAGCAGGCUCACGCUUGAAUACAUUAGCAUGGAAUAAUGAAAUAGGACAUCCGAUUCUAUUUUGUUGGUUUCUAGGAUCGAUGUAAUGAUUAAUAGGGAUAGUUGGGGGCAUUAGUAUUCAAUUGUCAGAGGUGAAAUUCUUGGAUUUAUUGAAGACUAACUACUGCGAAAGCAUUUGCCAAGGAUGUUUUCAUUAAUCAAGAACGAAAGUUAGGGGAUCGAAGACGAUCAGAUACCGUCGUAGUCUUAACCAUAAACUAUGCCGACUAGGGAUCGGAUGAUGUUAAUUUUUUAAUGACUCAUUCGGCACCUUACGGGAAAC
rnacentral:rRNA from 1 species